rnacentral:rRNA from 1 species
UACGAAGGGUCCAAGCGUUGUUCGGAAUCAUUGGGCGUAAAGCGAGCGCAGGCGGAUCAGCAAGUCAGAUGUGAAAUCUCGAAGCUCAACUUCGAAACUGCGUCUGAAACUGCUAGUCUAGAAUGUCGGAGGGGGUAGGGGAAUUUCACGUGUAGGGGUAAAAGCCGUAGAGAUGUGGAGGAACACCGGGGGCGAAGGCGCCUACCUGGACGACUAUUGACGCUGAGGCUCGAAAGCGUGGGGAGCAAACAGG